UACGAAGGGGGCUAGCGUUGCUCGGAAUUACUGGGCGUAAAGCGCACGUAGGCGGCUCUUUAAGUCGGGGGUGAAAUCCUGGAGCUCAACUCCAGAACUGCCUUCGAUACUGUAGAGCUUGAGUUCGGGAGAGGUGAGUGGAACUGCGAGUGUAGAGGUGAAAUUCGUAGAUAUUCGCAAGAACACCAGUGGCGAAGGCAGCUAGCUAGACCGACAUUGACGCUGAGGCACGAAAGCGUGGGGAUCAAACAGG
rnacentral:rRNA from 1 species